GUCCGCCUUUCUGUGGUACCAAAGAACGACUUUACGACAUUAUUGUCAAGGGGAACUAUGUGAUGAAACCCAAACAGUGGGACAAUAUAUCACUGCAAGGAAAAGAUUUAGUUCACAGACUGCUGGAGAAAGACCCUGAGAAGCGGAUCACAGUGGAACAGGCCCUGGAGCAUCCCUGGAUAAAG
rnacentral:sRNA from 1 species